UACGGAGGGUGCAAGCGUUAAUCGGAAUUACUGGGCGUAAAGGGUGCGUAGGUUGUUUAUUAAGUUAUUUGUGAAAUCCCUGGGCUUAACCUGGGCAGGUCAGAUAAUACUGAUAGACUCGAGUAUGGGAGAGGGUAGUGGAAUUUCCGGUGUAGCGGUGAAAUGCGUAGAGAUCGGAAGGAACACCAGUGGCGAAGGCGGCUACCUGGCCUAAUACUGACACUGAGGCACGAAAGCGUGGGGAUCAAACAGG
rnacentral:rRNA from 1 species